AGUAACGGCGAGUGAAGCGGCAACAGCUCAAAUUUGAAAUCUGGCCCUAGGCCCGAGUUGUAAUUUGCAGAGGAUGCUUCGGGCGCGGUGCCUUCCAAGUCCCCUGGAACGGGGCGCCACAGAGGGUGAGAGCCCCGUCAGGUCGGCCGCCAAGCCUAUGUGAAGCUCCUUCGACGAGUCGAGUAGUUUGGGAAUGCUGCUCUAAAUGGGAGGUAGACCCCUUCUAAAGCUAAAUACCGGCCAGAGACCGAUAGCGCACAAGUAGAGUGAUCGAAAGAUGAAAAGCACUUUGAAAAGAGGGUUAAACAGUACGUGAAAUUGUUGAAAGGGAAGCGCUUGUGACCAGACGUGCACCGGGCGCUCAGCGGGCGUUCUCGCCCGUGCACUCGCCCCGGUGCAGGCCAGCGUCGGUUCGGGAGGGGGGACAAAGGCAUCAGGAACGUAGCUCCCCCGGGAGUGUUAUAGCCUGGCGCGUCAUGCCCCCGCCCGGACCGAGGUUCGCGCUCCGCAAGGACGCUGGCGUAAUGGUCCCCAGCGGCCCGUCUUGAAACACGGACCAAGGAGUCGAGGUUUUGCGCGAGUGUUUGGGUGUCAAACCCGCACGCGUAAUGAAAGUGAACGCAGGUGGGAGCUUCGGCGCACCACCGACCGAUCCUGAUGUUCUCGGAUGGAUUUGAGUAGGAGCGUAGGGCCUCGGACCCGAAAGAUGGUGAACUAUACUUGGAUAGGGUGAAGCCAGAGGAAACUCUGGUGGAGGCUCGCAGCGGUUCUGACGUGCAAAUCGAUCGUCAAAUCUGAGUAUGGGGGCGAAAGACUAAUC
rnacentral:rRNA from 1 species